GAUGAACGCUGGCGGCGUGCCUAAUACAUGCAAGUCGAGCGAACGAACAGGAAGUUGCUUCUCUUAUGUUUGCGGCGGGCGGGUUAGUAACCAGUUGGAAAACUACCUUUUAGACUGGGAUUAAUUCGGGGAACCCGAGCCUAUACCGGAAUAUAAUUUUGACCGCCUUGUUUCAAAAUGGAAAAAGGUUUUUGUGUUACUUAUAAGUGGGUCCGCGCUGCAUUAGCUAGUUGGUAAGGUAACGGCUUACCAAGGCAACGAUGCAUAGCCGACCUGAGAGGGUGAUCGGCCACACUGGAACUGAGACACGGUCCAGACUCCUACGGGAGGCAGCAGUAGGGAAUCUUCCGCAAUGGGCGAAAGCCUGACGGAGCAACGCCGCGUGAGUGAUGAAGGUCUUCGGAUCGUAAAACUCUGUUAUUAGGGAAGAACAUAUGUGUAAGUAACUGUGCACAUCUUGACGGUACCUAAUCAGAAAGCCACGGCUAACUACGUG
rnacentral:rRNA from 1 species